GAACUGAAGAGUUUGAUCAUGGCUCAGAUUGAACGCUGGCGGCAGGCCUAACACAUGCAAGUCGAGCGGAUGACGGGAGCUUGCUCCUUGAUUCAGCGGCGGACGGGUGAGUAAUGCCUAGGAAUCUGCCUGGUAGUGGGGGACAACGUUUCGAAAGGAACGCUAAUACCGCAUACGUCCUACGGGAGAAAGCAGGGGACCUUCGGGCCUUGCGCUAUCAGAUGAGCCUAGGUCGGAUUAGCUAGUAGGUGAGGUAAUGGCUCACCUAGGCGACGAUCCGUAACUGGUCUGAGAGGAUGAUCAGUCACACUGGAACUGAGACACGGUCCAGACUCCUACGGGAGGCAGCAGUGGGGAAUAUUGGACAAUGGGCGAAAGCCUGAUCCAGCCAUGCCGCGUGUGUGAAGAAGGUCUUCGGAUUGUAAAGCACUUUAAGUUGGGAGGAAGGGCAGUAAG
rnacentral:rRNA from 1 species